UACGUAGGGUGCGAGCGUUGUUCGGAAUUACUGGGCGUAAAGGGCGCGUAGGCGGCCUGCUAAGUCGGAUGUGAAAUCCCUCGGCUCAACCGAGGAACUGCAUCCGAUACUGGCGGGCUUGGAAUCCGGGAGAGGGAUGUGGAAUUCCAGGUGUAGCGGUGAAAUGCGUAGAUAUCCGGAGGAACACCGGUGGCGAAGGCGGCUUCCUGGACCGACACUGACGCUGAGGCGCGAAAGCUAGGGGAGCAAACGGG
rnacentral:rRNA from 1 species